GUGUUUGUAGCCUGUGCCGAUGAUAUUCUGGUGUAUGAUUUAGGACCGGUGGAGGAUUCGAAAUAUUGGUCGUUCUGUUAUAAUGGAUUCACUGCUCUGGCACACCCCUCACCGGUACAGAUUGGAACAAAGCAUGGUGUGUAUGUGGUGGAAAAUGAGAAAAAUGUGGAUCCGAAGAAACAUAUAAGAGGAAUGAGAUGUCUGAGAGUCCUGCAGAAACCAAGGAUUACUCAGAUGUAUGAGAAAGGGGCUGUGCUCAGUAAUCUCAAGUUCUCUGAAGAAGUUGCUUUCAAGGGAGAUACUUCAUAUACAGACAGUUCCUUUUUCUUUGGAAUGGACAUAGCUAAGAAACUUUUGCACUUCUUCAAAGAAAACAGCCCUUUGACUUGUGAAAUUGAUGCCUAUGGAGACUUUCUACAAGCACUUGGUCCCUUGGCCACGAGUGAAUAUGUCCACAACACUAGCAAUGUAACACAUUUAACUCCAAACCUUGUGCCAACUAGAUUACAGAUAUUUGAGCUUCUGAAAGGAACUGAUAUUAACCUUUUGCUGAUGAAUGCAUCAAAAUUUAUUCACAUUGGCACAACCAAAGAGUAUAUUUAUCACUUCUGUUUUGACACUAAACUCCAGGAUGAACUUGGUUUGGUUAAAGACUGUUUUAACACUUUUACAGAGAUCAAACCAAGUGCUAAAAAACGGAAGUUCUCAGACACUGGUUUAGGGUGCAUCAUGCACUCUUGCAUACCCACUGAGUGCUUUGUAUCCUCAAACACAGUUUUAGAGUACUGCCACUUUGAGCUGCCACUUCAAGUGGGUCAGAAUUCUAUAAUUAGUAACUGUGCUUUGUUUGAGGAGGAACUUUCAGACAAUUUACCCACACCCACACAAACCCCACACAACAUAUUCCUGCACACAGUAGCCGUCAGACACCAGGACCAAACCAAGUAUGCCACAGUUGUGUUCCACAUCGAUGAUGAUCUGAAAAAACAAGUCCCAAUCUCAAAUGUGAUUGAAGCCUCAUAUCUAGGUUACGAUAUCCAGCGAUUUAUUGAGAACUGCAAGCUGACCCAGUUUCAAUUGGAUGAGGACACUGGCGGAGUUCAGAGAGAAGGAGAGGGGGAGGGGCAGGCCCUCACCAGUCUAUGGCAGAUGUGCCUGUUUCCUCUAGAGAGUAGUAUGACCAGGUCUUUGGUGCUAGCAUUAACAGCAGCGAAAGCAGCACAGAGUAACAAUCCGGACAUGGUAGACCUCAGUGGCUAUCAUGUGGUCUCAAUGGAGGAAAUUCUGGACAUGAAAGAUGUCAGAGCAAUGCUGAAGUAUAGGGACGGUCUGUUUUCAAAGAUUUUAAAGUCUUAAAUAAUAAGCAUACUUGAUUACACGAUGUAGGAGAAUUAUAUAAAGAAUACUUUGUGAUUAUAACUCAGUAACCAUAUAACAUAUUUAUUCGAUCAUCAGAAAUCUUAUUUUUUUUGGAUAUGGUACAUGUACUUACAUGUAAAUAGAAUCUGAUACUACUUAAAUUUUUUUAGACAGAAAUAAGAUUUUUUUUUGGUUUGAUGAAAGAAGUAGUGGGAAAGCAAAGACUGCCUUUAUGGCAUAUACAUGUGAUACGUAUUGUGAUUUAUUUUUAAGUUAUUUGUUCAAUAGAAUCUUUUUUGGUUUUACUCGGUAGAUCUGAAAGUUGCACAUAUUUUGUUGGUGACUUCAUACAGACAUAGGAUUGUCUAUAGAUCUAAUUCAAUAUGAAAUAUAUGUUUGUUAUUUAUCCCCCCAUUUUACUGUUUAUAUACAUAUCUAAUAUGUUUAUAUACAUGUAUUUCCAUUGCAAGCAAUAAGAUUGAAUAAAUAUCACAUUUUUGUAAAAUAAUCUACAUACCAAUUGUAUUUUAUGCAGAACUAGAAAUGAUCCAGGGAAUUCCUAUGUUUGUGAAUAAAUCAAUAUAUACAGGC
rnacentral:misc_RNA from 1 species